AUUGAACGCUGGCGGCAUGCCUUACACAUGCAAGUCGAACGGCAGCACGGGAGCAAUCCUGGUGGCGAGUGGCGAACGGGUGAGUAAUAUAUCGGAACGUGCCCAGUCGUGGGGAUAACGUAGCGAAAGCUACGCUAAUACCGCAUACGAUCUAUGGAUGAAAGCGGGGAUCGCAAGACCUCGCGCGAUUGGAGCGGCCGAUAUCAGAUUAGGUAGUUGGUGAGGUAAAGGCUCACCAAGCCGACGAUCUGUAGCUGGUCUGAGAGGACGACAGCCACACUGGACUGAGACACGGCCCAGACUCCUACGGAGGCAGCAGUGGGAAUUUUGGACAAUAGGGCGCAAGCCUGAUCCAGCAAUGCCGCGUGCAGGAUGAAGGCCUUCGGUU
rnacentral:rRNA from 1 species